rnacentral:rRNA from 1 species
UGGGGGAUAUUGCACAAUGGAGGAAACUCUGAUGCAGCAACGCCGCGUGAAGGAUGAAGGUCUUCGGAUUGUAAACUUUUGUACUUGGGGACGAUAAUGACGGUACCCAAGCAGCAAGCUCCGGCUAACUACGUGCCAGCAGCCGCGGUAAUACGUAGGGAGCAAGCGUUGUCCGGAUUUACUGGGUGUAAAGGGUGCGUAGGCGGCCAUACAAGUCAGUUGUGAAAACUAUGGGCUCAACCCAUAGCCUGCAAUUGAAACUGCGUGGCUUGAGUGAAGUAGAGGUAGGUGGAAUUCCCGGUGUAGCGGUGAAAUGCGUAGAGAUCGGGAGGAACACCAGUGGCGAAGGCGAC